CUAGUGUUGUUUUCAAACAUUUCUGAUUUUUGGGUUUUCAAUCUUCACAAAUUUAUUUGAACAACAUAAUCUGGCUUUAUUGUUAAUUUGGAUAAAAAUUUGCUAUUUUAUUUGAACAGAAAUUUCGUAAAUAUAUUUGGGUUUACUUUAUUUGAGUUAAGAAAGUGAAAGACAUUGAUCUUGUGACUACAAUGAAAUGAAAAUGAUAGAAAAUGAUGAAGAUUUGAGGAAGAAAACCGAGAGAGAGAGAGAGAGAGAGAGAGAGAGAGUUGAAUUUUGCUUUGGUUUCAUUCUAUUCUUUGAAGAAAAAAACAAAUUUUAUCCUGUGUGAGUGCUGGAACUUUUACUUUGACUGUCACUACUGUGGUAAAAGUGUGGCCUUACUUAUGCCUAUAUCUAUCACAAGCAUGUUUGAAUCUUUCUUGCUCUAUGGAUAUCUAUCUGUUUAGGUGGUUUAUGAUUGUUAGUUGUUGUUGUUGUUGUUGUUGGAUAUCAAUUAUGAAGAUUAACAACUCUUUUAGAUAUGUGCUCUGUUGGUGUUGUUAUCUUUAAUGUCUUUUAUGUGAUUUGGUGGAAUUGUUGUUAGUGUAUUGGUUGGUUCUUUCUUUUUUUUUGAAUUUCUCUUGUAAAUCUUUUUAUUGUGAAUAUAUAUAUGGUGACAAAAAUUAGUGAAGAAAACAAAUUUCAUCCUAAAAAAACUAUAGGUGAAAAUGGAAGAAACAAAAGACUUUUCAGGACUAGUUUUGAGAAACCCAAAAGAAAAGAGGCCAUUCAAGUGAAGUACCCUUCUCCGAAUGAGAUGCUCUCACAACUCUCUAUGUCUGCCAGAGAUCCAAUGAAAAACAACUUGUUGCUUUCUAGUGUUAGUUUUUUUCUCUAAUUUCUGGAAUUCAUUGUGCCUAGAGAAUUCCAUUUCACAAGAGCACAAAAAAUUAACCAAGAAAGUGUCUGGCAAGCAUAUUAGGAAAAAAUUAUCUAAAUCGAAAACUACAGAAACAUCUGUGGUUAAGGUUAUGGAAGACUCUUAUUGGACUGACAUGAUUGUUCAAAGCAACACCAAAGAAGAGCAUAUACUAGUUAAACCUAAGGUCCCAAACAAAAAAAGUGCCCCACUGUUGAACCAGAAGCAGCUCUUGAGUUGGGUAUACAAUUGGAUUAUAAACAGGAAACUACUGUUGUGGAUUGUCAAUUGAAGGGAAAAUCAGCAGGUAAUAUAGAUGAGAAAUGCGAGGAAGAGGAGACUCCAACCACAAUAAUUCUGAACUUCACUACAGUUUUUGAUUUACUUGUUUAUUUACUAGUUCAGAGUCCUCCAGGUUGAUGGUUCAGCGGUUGAGGAAAGAUCCACUGAAUUAGGUAUAUAUAUAUAUAUAUGUAUAUCGUUUUUUUUUCUAUAUGUUAUUUAACUCAAAACUUGAGUAAUUUUCUUGCCUUACAAAAGUAUGAAUGACUAGUGAAGAGCAUGGACAUGUGGCACUCCAAGAGCACCCAAUAAUUUUUCCUUUGAGAAUCAAUUGCUUGUACCCUCCAUCAUUUAUUUUGGCUAGGGAUGCUAUCUACAUUGUGGGAGUUCUCACUAUUUCCAUUUAUAUCUAUUUUCUCUUAUAGAUUCUCAAGCAACAUCCUCUGAAAAAAAUGUUAUACCUCUAACUUUUUGAAUGAGAGUUGCAACAGCAAUAGCUCUUGGUGCUGCUGUUGUGCGUGCCAAGUUAUUGGCAGAUCAGGAAGACCAAGAAAUAGAAUGUUUAGUGGCAACCAUUAUCGAAACACAAUUGAAGAAGUUGCAACGCAAAAUCAAGCAUUUUGAUGAUUUAGAGCUUAUAAUGGAGAAGGAAUACACCCAACUGGAGGAUAUAAAAGAGUCUAUGAUAGUGGAGUGGAUGAAUGUUUUGCACAAAGUAUUCAAAGUAGGGACAUCUAGAUGGAAGGAUCAAACUUCUGUAGAACCACCUUAGACAGGUAGUGUACUUUGAUUGAGUCUAACUUGAAAAUUCUGGUCCUUUUAGAUGUUUAUUAUGUUAGGAAAAGAAAAGGGGAGAUCCAACAUAAACCUGCUGGGCUUCUAGUGUAAGUAACAUGUUUAGUUCUUCAUUCUCAAGUAGACAGAACUUGCUUUUGGAUGUCAAUUCAUUUGAGAACUAUUGUGGAUGAUUCUUGUUGAUGCUAAUGGUUAUAUUUCAAAAUGUUAUGCUCUUCCAUGUAGAUAUAGUGAAAAAGAAUAACUAUGUGUAAUGGUUUUGGAACAAUUUGUGUCUAUUUUUUGCUUAUUUAGACAACCUGAAGCAACUCUUGAGUUGGGUAUACAAUUGGAUUAUAAACAGGAAACUGCUGUUAUGGGUUGUCAAUUGGAGGGAAAAUAAACAGGUGACAUGGAUGAGAAAUGCGAGAAAAAGAAGACUUCGACCACACUAAUUCUGAACUUCACUGACUUGGAGUCUGUCCCUUCCGAAUCAAUUCUCAAUGAGAUAUUUAGCCACUAUGGACCUUUGAAUGAAUCAGUCAUCGAGGUCAUGAAGAAGAGCAAACGUGCUAAAGUGGUCUUCAAGAGGCGUUCUAAUGUUGAAACAACUUUCAAUAUUAUUGAAAAAAUUAGCAUUUUGGGGCCUUCACUAGUCAAUUACCGCCUUAAUUACUCAUCUUCUACACCGUCUAAAACUUCUACUUCUGCCACAAAGCGAGACAGAAAGGGUGCAACAUCUGUGGAAGAAAAUACUACUUGAUAAUUGAUGCAGAUCAGUUUAGGAUAAUAUGAUAAAGAUCCAAGCUGAACAUUACUCCCAACCUAGUAUCGUUCCAAUUACUUCAGAGGAGCUAUCUGUGAAGGUGCUCAAGCGAAGGUCGGGAUAUGUUAAAGGACUUGGGUUGAGGCCUUCCUUCUCUGUCAAGACUACCAGUGCUUCGACUAAUAGUGACUAUGUGAGGCAUCUAGAGAUGGAAAUACAAGAGCAAAAAGACAAAAUUCAGUCACAAAAAGGGGAAAUUACAUCACAGAAACAUGAAAUUCAAGCACGAAAAAAAAGAAAUUAGUGUGAUAGGGAAGAUGAAUGAGUCGCUUGAGGGGAAUUUUGAAAUGACAUCAUACAUCACGGAAUUUCUUAAGAAGCAAGGUUUCAAAGGACAAUUUAGAGGAGAAGGUAUCCCAUGAACUCGUAGACCACCAUUUUGAUUGGUUUUUGAUGACGUUUAGAAGCAUACUUGCAAAUCAAGAUCAAGUGUUGAAUUUUU